GGCUCAGAACGAACGCUGGCGGCAGGCUUAACACAUGCAAGUCGAGCGCCCCGCAAGGGGAGCGGCAGACGGGUGAGUAACGCGUGGGAAUCUACCCAACUCUACGGAAUAACUCAGGGAAACUUGUGCUAAUACCGUAUACGCCCUUCGGGGGAAAGAUUUAUCGGAGUUGGAUGAGCCCGCGUUGGAUUAGCUAGUUGGUGGGGUAAAGGCCUACCAAGGCGACGAUCCAUAGCUGGUCUGAGAGGAUGAUCAGCCACAUUGGGACUGAGACACGGCCCAAACUCCUACGGGAGGCAGCAGUGGGGAAUAUUGGACAAUGGGCGCAAGCCUGAUCCAGCCAUGCCGCGUGUGUGAUGAAGGCCUUAGGGUUGUAAAGC
rnacentral:rRNA from 1 species